CAAUAGCGUAUAUUAAAGUUGUUGCGGUUAAAAAGCUCGUAGUUGGAUUUCUGCCGAGGACGACCGGUCCGCCCUGCGGGUGAGUAUCUGGGACGACCUGGGCAUCUUCUUGGAGAACGUAUCUGCACUUGACUGUGUGGUGCGGUAUCCAGGACUUUUACUUUGAGGAAAUUAGAGUGUUUCAAGCAGGACCACGCCUUGAAUACAUUAGCAUGGAAUAAUAAGAUAGGACCUCGGUUCUAUUUUGUUGGUUUCUAGAGCUGAGGUAAUGAUUAAUAGGGAUAGUUGGGGGCAUUCGUAUUUAACCGUCAGAGGUGAAAUUCUUGGAUUUGUUAAAGACGGACUACUGCGAAAGCAUUUGCCAAGGAUGUUUNCAUUGA
rnacentral:rRNA from 1 species